CAGCAGCCGCGGGAAUACAGAGGGUGCGAGCGUUAAUCGGAUUUACUGGGCGUAAAGCGUGCGUAGGCGGCUUUUUAAGUCGGAUGUGAAAUCCCUGAGCUUAACUUAGGAAUUGCAUUCGAUACUGGGAAGCUAGAGUAUGGGAGAGGAUGGUAGAAUUCCAGGUGUAGCGGUGAAAUACGUAGAGAUCUGGAGGAAUACCGAUGGCGAAGGCAGCCAUCUGGCCUAAUACUGACGCUGAGGUACGAAAGCAUGGGGAGCAAACAGGAUUAGAUACCCGAGUAGUCCCUGUCUCUUAUAC
rnacentral:rRNA from 1 species